UUUGUUUAUUUUAUGUAUGUAACUUUUUGUUUAUUUUCUCCUCUCCCACAUUUGAUUUUCUCCAAACAGAGAGUGGAUGAGAGUGAACACCCAGAAACACCAUUCACAAAAAAUUUGCAUUAAGCAUGGUUGACUUGAAUAUCCAACCACCACGGAGUGUUGCCGGUGGUACGGCGUCAUUCAAUGAAGAUCCAGAAGCUUCUUUAACGGGUUCACCCUUAAAUGUUAUCCCACAUAAUAUUUUACCUAAUUUUGCACUUAAUGAAGAUGCAUUGGCUGAGAGCAGAGUUGUUGAAGAUCCGAAACCUAUUUCUACAGAGUUUCCAGCAAUUGAAGGUUUUCAACGAAAACGUGGACGAUUCUGCUGAGCCCAGAUGCAUACGAGCACAUGAGCAUAUUACCUUUUUGACGUUUAGAUUUUUAUGGGAUCUUUUUGACUUUUUUUUGUUUUUUUUUCUAUGGAGACUCAGAUCUGCAUCCAAACGGCAUCAACGAUGAUGACGAUGGUGUUCAGAAUUGUACUUUUACAGAGUUGAUAUCCACAGAUCAGUUUUAUCUGGAAGUAUGUAUUUUUUUUAGGUAUAUCUUUCGUGGAGGUUGGAUGAUGUAUGAAGAUGCCAGAUUUGAGAUGUGGAGUUCGUCAAACCAAAAAAGGUAAUAAUAAGAACGUUGAUGACAACGCAACACCUCUUUUAGCCCUAACUCCUUGAAGCGGGACCCGAUGAGGCAAAGUUCAGGCACCAAAAUCACCUACCGCCAGCCCAGUGGUCCGCGGGCAUUUGUAUCCAAUGCCAAGACCCGUUGGCAGAGGUCGAGUUGGUCGACGAACAAAUGUAACAAUCGAAGAAAAAAUGCAUGUUACAUUUUUUCGUGUUACAUAAAUAAUGUGUGUUACUGGGUAUA